GUUUCUCGAUGCUGCUCCGGUGGUAACGCUAGUCUCGGGAAGUUGCCUGACAAUUUCGGCCAUGUCGUUGCCGAACCCAGAGUUGGAUCCCUGCUCCGAUAAAUCAUGCAUCGAUUAGCAUUAAAUCUGAUAAGCGAUAUCUGUGCAAGCACAUGACUUCAAAUUAUGUGGCUAUUCCCGUCAUACUCGAGGCAACUCUUCAGCUUUCAAUCCGCUACAUGUGUUAUCCGCUCUUCCUCCAAACCCAUCUACACGUAGCGAUUACUACGCCUGCCGAUGUAUCGUAAAAAUAUGCUUUUUUUCUCCUCGCGGAAGCUCGAAGCAAAAUAAAAAAAAAGCGUUAUCACUGGUCUAACGAGUUUAUUCGUUCUUUGAAUUUACACUAGCUGAAAGUGAUUUUAGUUUUUAGCAUGAAACGUCACAGAUUGACAGAAAGCACAAACGCAUCUAAUCCAAAGAAACGUUGAA